rnacentral:rRNA from 1 species
GACGAACGCUGGCGGCGUGCUUAACACAUGCAAGUCGAGCGGUAAGGCCCUUUCGGGGGUACACGAGCGGCGAACGGGUGAGUAACACGUGGGUGACCUGCCCUUAGCUCUGGGAUAAGCCUGGGAAACUGGGUCUAAUACCGGAUAUGACUCCAUAACGCAUGUUGUGGGGUGGAAAGCCUUGUGCGGCUAGGGAUGGGCCCGCGGCCUAUCAGCUUGUUGGUGGGGUGAUGGCCACCAAGGCGACGACGGGUAGCCGGCCUGAGAGGGCGACCGGCCGACACUGGGACUGAGACACGGCCCAGACUCCUACGGGAGGCAGCAGUGGGGAAUCUUGCGCAAUGGGCGAAAGCCUGGCGCAGCGACGCCGCGUGGGGA